CAGACGACCGCUUGACUUUCUGUUCCCAAGCAGUAGACUCGGGAACAAGUUUACUGGAUUUUCCAGACAACAGUCUGGAGUUUUCAGAAAGCCAGACACGUGGCAGUGACUUGAAUCAGGGAAUAGCUCCAGUUCCAUCCACCUCAACCCACCAAGUGAGGCCAAGCCAACCUAUUCUGAUUGAAUCUACUGAGAGUUCCAGCAGUCCCUCUCUCAUCUCGAAGAAGAGCCGAAGAAAAAAGAGUAGAAGUUCUUUUCCUGUUCUUCAGCCCGACGGUACCUGUCUUCAGCGUGCUCUUAGUCAAAUAUUAUGAACAAAUGGUGAUU